rnacentral:rRNA from 1 species
GAACGGGUGAGUAACACGUGGGCAACCUGCCCAAAAGAGGGGGAUAACACUUGGAAACAGGUGCUAAUACCGCAUAACCAUAGUUACCGCAUGGUAACUAUGUAAAAGGUGGCUAUGCUACCGCUUUUGGAUGGGCCCGCGGCGCAUUUGCUAGUUGGUGGGGUAAAGGCUUACCAAGGCAAUGAUGCGUAGCCGAACUGAGAGGUUGAUCGGCCACAUUGGGACUGAGACACGGCCCAAACUCCUACGGGAGGCAGCAGUAGGGAAUCUUCCACAAUGGGCGAAAGCCUGAUGGAGCAACGCCGCGUGGGUGAAGAAGGUCUUCGGAUCGUAAAACCCUGUUGUUAGAGAAGAAAGUGCGUGAGAGUAACUGUUCACGUUUCGACGGUAUCUAACCAGAAAGCCACGGCUAACUACGUGCCAGCAGCCGCGGUAAUGCGUAGGUGGCAAGCGUUAUCCGGAUUUAUUGGGCGUAAAGGGAACGCAGGCGGUCUUUUAAGUCUGAUGUGAAAGCCUUCGGCUUAACCGGAG